rnacentral:piRNA from 1 species
UGGAACUACGGUGAAACUGCAAAUUGCCAU